rnacentral:rRNA from 1 species
UACGUAGGUGGCAAGCGUUGUCCGGAAUUAUUGGGCGUAAAGCGCGCGCAGGCGGCCUCUUAAGUCUGAUGUGAAAGCCCACGGCUCAACCGUGGAGGGUCAUUGGAAACUGGGGGACUUGAGUACAGAAGAGGAAAGCGGAAUUCCACGUGUAGCGGUGAAAUGCGUAGAGAUGUGGAGGAACACCAGUGGCGAAGGCGGCUUUCUGGUCUGUAACUGACGCUGAGGCGCGAAAGCGUGGGGAGCAAACAGG